GCUGUGAUGGCCGAGAGGUUAAGGCGUUGGACUUGAAAUCUAAUGGGAUCUUCCUGUGUAGGUUAGAGCCCUGCGCACAGCG